rnacentral:rRNA from 1 species
AGCUGGCGGCACGCCUAAACAUGCAAGUCGAACGAAGUAGCAAUACUUAGUGGCAGACGGGUGAGUAACAUGUAGGUAUCUACCCUUUGGCCUGGAAUAACACGAGGAAACUUGUGCUAAUACCGGAUAAGUCUUUACGGAGAAAGCUUUAUGCACCAUUGGAUGAGCCUGCACUUGAUUAGUUUGUUGGUGGGGUAAUGGCCUACCAAGACUGUGAUCAAUAGCUGAUUUGAGAGGAUGAUCAGCCACAUUGGGACUGAGACACGGCCCAAACUCCUACGGGAGGCAGCAGUGGGGAAUCUUGCACAAUGGAGGAAACUCUGAUGCAGCGAUGCCGCGUGAGUGAAGAAGGCCUUUGGGUUGUAAAGCUCUUUCGUCGGGGAAGAAAAUGACUGUACCCGAAUAAGAAGGUCCGGCUAACUUCGUGCCAGCAGCCGCGGUAAUACGAAGGGACCUAGCGUAGUUCGGAAUUACUGGGCUUAAAGAGUUCGUAGGUGGUUGAAAAAGUUAGUGGUGAAAUCCCAGAGCUUAACUCUGGAACUGCCAUUAAAACUUUUCAGCUAGAGUAUGAUAGAGGAAAGCAGAAUUUCUAGUGUAGAGGUGAAAUUCGUAGAUAUUAGAAAGA